UACGUAGGGUGCAAGCGUUAAUCGGAAUUACUGGGCGUAAAGCGUGCGCAGGCGGUUCUAUAAGACAGAUGUGAAAUCCCCGGGCUCAACCUGGGAACUACAUUUGUGACUGUAGAGCUGGAGUACGGCAGAGGGGGAUGGAAUUCCGCGUGUAGCAGUGAAAUGCGUAGAUAUGCGGAGGAACACCGAUGGCGAAGGCAAUCCCCUGGGCCUGUACUGACGCUCAUGCACGAAAGCGUGGGGAGCAAACAGG
rnacentral:rRNA from 1 species